rnacentral:rRNA from 1 species
AACCCUUGCUUUAAUUGCCAGCAUUCAGUUGGGCACUUUAGAGAUACUGCCGGGUUUUUAAGCCGGAGGAAGGUGGGGAUGACGUCAAGUCCUCAUGGCCUUUAUGCCCAGGGCUACACACGUGCUACAAUGGGUGGUACGAAGAGCAGCUAACUCGCGAGAGUAUGCAAAUCUCAAAAAGCCAUCCUCAGUUCGGAUUGGAGUCUGCAACUCGACUCCAUGAAGUUGGAAUCGCUAGUAAUCGCGGAUCAGCAUGCCGCGGUGAAUACGUUCCCGGGCCUU